rnacentral:rRNA from 1 species
CGGAGGGUGCAAGCGUUAUCCGGAUUCACUGGGUUUAAAGGGUGCGUAGGUGGGUAAGUAAGUCAGUGGUGAAAUCUCCGGGCUUAACCCGGAAACUGCCAUUGAUACUAUUUGUCUUGUAUACUGUGGAGGUCAGCGGAAUAUGUCAUGUAGCGGUGAAAUGCUUAGAUAUGACAUAGAACACCAAUUGCGAAGGCAGCUGGCUACACAAAUAUUGACACUGAGGCACGAAAGCGUGGGGAUCAAACAGGAUUAGAUACCCUGGUAGUCCACGCCCUAAACUAUGGAUACUCGACAUUUGCGAUAAACUGCAAGUGUCUGAGCGAAAGCAUUAAGUAUCCCACCUGGGAAGUACGAUCGCAAGAUUG